rnacentral:rRNA from 1 species
GGCGAAAAGAACCCCGGCGAGGGGAGUGAAAAAGAACCUGAAACCGUGUACGUACAAGCAGUGGGAGCACGCUUAGGCGUGUGACUGCGUACCUUUUGUAUAAUGGGUCAGCGACUUAUAUUCUGUAGCAAGGUUAACCGAAUAGGGGAGCCGAAGGGAAACCGAGUCUUAACUGGGCGUUAAGUUGCAGGGUAUAGACCCGAAACCCGGUGAUCUAGCCAUGGGCAGGUUGAAGGUUGGGUAACACUAACUGGAGGACCGAACCGACUAAUGUUGAAAAAUUAGCGGAUGACUUGUGGCUGGGGGUGAAAGGCCAAUCAAACCGGGAGAUAGCUGGUUCUCCCCGAAAGCUAUUUAGGUAGCGCCUCGUGAAUUCAUCUCCGGGGGUAGAGCACUGUUUCGGCAAGGGGGUCAUCCCGACUUACCAACCCGAUGCAAACUGCGAAUACCGGAGAAUGUUAUCACGGGAGACACACGGCGGGUGCUAACGUCCGUCGUGAAGAGGGAAACAACCCAGACCGCCAGCUAAGGUCCCAAAGUCAUGGUUAAGUGGGAAACGAUGUGGGAAGGCCCAGACAGCCAGGAUGUUGGCUUAGAAGCAGCCAUCAUUUAAAGAAAGCGUAAUAGCUCACUGGUCGAGUCGGCCUGCGCGGAAGAUGUAACGGGGCUAAACCAUGCACCGAAGCUGCGGCAGCGACGCUGAUGCGUUGUUGGGUAGGGGAGCGUUCUGUAAGCCUGUGAAGGUGUGCUGUGAGGUAUGCUGGAGGUAUCAGAAGUGCGAAUGCUGACAUAAGUAACGAUAAAGCGGGUGAAAAGCCCGCUCGCCGGAAGACCAAGGGUUCCUGUCCAACGUUAAUCGGGGCAGGGUGAGUCGACCCCUAAGGCGAGGCCGAAAGGCGUAGUCGAUGGGAAACAGGUUAAUAUUCCUGUACUUGGUGUUACUGCGAAGGGGGGACGGAGAAGGCUAUGUUGGCCGGGCGACGGUUGUCCCGGUUUAAGCGUGUAGGCUGGUUUUCCAGGCAAAUCCGGAAAACUAAGGCUGAGGCGUGAUGACGAGGCACUACGGUGCUGAAGCAACAAAUGCCCUGCUUCCAGGAAAAGCCUCUAAGCAUCAGGUAACAUCAAAUCGUACCCCAAACCGACACAGGUGGUCAGGUAGAGAAUACCAAGGCGCUUGAGAGAACUCGGGUGAAGGAACUAGGCAAAAUGGUGCCGUAACUUCGGGAGAAGGCACGCUGAUAUGUAGGUGAAGUCCCUCGCGGAUGGAGCUGAAAUCAGUCGAAGAUACCAGCUGGCUGCAACUGUUUAUUAAAAACACAGCACUGUGCAAACACGAAAGUGGACGUAUACGGUGUGACGCCUGCCCGGUGCCGGAAGGUUAAUUGAUGGGGUCAGCGCAAGCGAAGCUCUUGAUCGAAGCCCCGGUAAACGGCGGCCGUAACUAUAACGGUCCUAAGGUAGCGAAAUUCCUUGUCGGGUAAGUUCCGACCUGCACGAAUGGCGUAAUGAUGGCCAGGCUGUCUCCACCCGAGACUCAGUGAAAUUGAACUCGCUGUGAAGAUGCAGUGUACCCGCGGCAAGACGGAAAGACCCCGUGAACCUUUACUAUAGCUUGACACUGAACAUUGAGCCUUGAUGUGUAGGAUAGGUGGGAGGCUUUGAAGUGUGGACGCCAGUCUGCAUGGAGCCGACCUUGAAAUACCACCCUUUAAUGUUUGAUGUUCUAACGUUGACCCGUAAUCCGGGUUGCGGACAGUGUCUGGUGGGUAGUUUGACUGGGGCGGUCUCCUCCUAAAGAGUAACGGAGGAGCACGAAGGUUGGCUAAUCCUGGUCGGACAUCAGGAGGUUAGUGCAAUGGCAUAAGCCAGCUUGACUGCGAGCGUGACGGCGCGAGCAGGUGCGAAAGCAGGUCAUAGUGAUCCGGUGGUUCUGAAUGGAAGGGCCAUCGCUCAACGGAUAAAAGGUACUCCGGGGAUAACAGGCUGAUACCGCCCAAGAGUUCAUAUCGACGGCGGUGUUUGGCACCUCGAUGUCGGCUCAUCACAUCCUGGGGCUGAAGUAGGUCCCAAGGGUAUGGCUGUUCGCCAUUUAAAGUGGUACGCGAGCUGGGUUUAGAACGUCGUGAGACAGUUCGGUCCCUAUCUGCCGUGGGCGCUGGAGAACUGAGGGGGGCUGCUCCUAGUACGAGAGGACCGGAGUGGACGCAUCACUGGUGUUCGGGUUGUCAUGCCAAUGGCACUGCCCGGUAGCUAAAUGCGGAAGAGAUAAGUGCUGAAAGCAUCUAAGCACGAAACUUGCCCCGAGAUGAGUUCUCCCUGACUCCUUGAGAGUCCUGAAGGAACGUUGAAGACGACGACGUUGAUAGGCCGGGUGUGUAAGCGCAGCGAUGCGUUGAGCUAACCGGUACUAAUGAACCGUGAGGCUUAACCUU